UACGAAGGGUGCAAGCGUUAGUCGGAAUUACUGGGCGUAAAGCGUGCGUAGGCGGUCUCUUAAGUCCGUUGUGAAAGCCCUGGGCUCAACCUGGGAACUGCAGUGGAUACUGAGAAGCUAGAGUGUGUCAGAGGAUGGUGGAAUUCCCGGUGUAGCGGUGAAAUUCGUAGAUAUUGGGAAGAACACCGGUGGCGAAGGCGGCGAGCUGUACCAUUACUGACGCUGAGGCGCGACAGCGUGGGGAGCAAACAGG
rnacentral:rRNA from 1 species